AAAGGAACCCAACAUUCAGGCAUGCCCUGCUCAAAAUGAGGACAAUCAGAGACGACAGCGGGCACGAGAGGCGCAGCAUACCGACGUCAGCUUGUUGAGGGUGCUGUCUAUGACCACGAAGUAAGCUUCCAGCAGCAUCUCCAGCUCUUCUAUGUUCUCGGCGGCGGCGCCGUCAGGGCUCUUGAUGCUGUCGUGACGACUUCGGCUGAUGCUCAGGGACGUCUCCAUCCUCGGUGAUUCGGCUGGAGAGGAGAUGGGAGACGCGGGGGCGGAAGCAGCGUGCCCCAGCCCAGAGAAACCCAG
rnacentral:lncRNA from 1 species